CAUACUACACAGCUGUAUGAAUGAAUGGAACGGGAAGAGGCAAAUGUGAAAAAUACUACGCGUGGGUGAAGAAGAAGCACCCAAACAAAAAAAAUAUGAAUGAAAAUAAAAAGGUUCUGCUGGAGAUUGAAGGCCAUUUAUGGAGAUUUUGAAUAAGGGACAAUGUUGGCUGCCUUGGACCAGAAGAAUUUCAAUGGCCGCUUCUGAAGAUGGUGAAUCUGAGCAGAUUUAACCGGUACUGUUCCAGAUAAGCUGGUGGACUAUCGAUUAAGGUGGUUCCGGAAAUGGAAGGUAAGUGUAAUGAAUUAUCAUGGAAUAAAAAAGUGUUCUCUUUUUUUUUUAUAAAAAAGUGCGAAAAAUAAAAAUGUGGUUCGGGUUUAUAUAAAAAAAAUUUGGUUACAGUGUGUGCGUAAAGUGAGUAAU